ensembl:misc_RNA 7SK 7SK RNA
GGAUGUGAGGGUGAUCUGUCUGUGACACCCGUCACCUCACUGAUUGCUAGGGUUGAAUUAGCUGAUCUGGCUGGCUAGGUGGAUGUCCCUUUCCUUCUUCACGGCUACUUGUGCAUCCCCUCCAGAAGCUACACACUGUGUCAUGAACACCCUCCCCAGAGACAGGACUGUUGCCUCCAUCAAGAGUUUAGGAGUUGCUGUGCCCUCCUGCUAGAACCUCCAAAAAAGUUCUCAUAAUUUUUAGGAAAUUGCCUUUUCCUUGAAUAGUACCAGCAGCAGUAUUCAUGAAUUUUUUAGAAAAU